rnacentral:rRNA from 1 species
CCCUUAGAUGUUCUGGGCGGCCCGCACACUACAAUGGCGUGUGCAGCGAGUGCCGAAGUAGAGUUUUCCGAGGUAUUCUUGCAAUGCUCGUUUUGAUGGGGAUAGACCCUUGCAACUGUUGGUUUUGAACGAGGAAUUCCUUGUAAGCAUGGUUUAUCAUCCGACGCUGAAUGCGUCCCUGCCCUUUGUACACACCGCCCGUCGCUCCUACCGAUGAGUCGUCCGGUGAAGUUCGUAGACCUCGUGAUCACGGAUCACUGGGGGAAGCAAAAUGAACCUCGCAGUUUAGAGGAAGGAGAAGUCGUAACA